rnacentral:rRNA from 1 species
CGGGUCGAACGGCCCUAGUGCAGAUCUUGGUGGUAGUAGCAAAUACUCAAAUGAGAAUUUGAGGACUGAAGUGGGGAAGGUUCCAUGUGAACAGCAGUUGGACAUGGGUUAGUCGAUCUAAGGCAUAGGAAGUUCCGUUUGAAAGGCGCCUCGUGCGCCGUGUGCCGAAAGGGAAGCCGUUAACAUUCCGGCACUGGAUGUGGAUUCUCCACGGCAACGUAACUGAACGCGGAGACAUCGGCGGGGGUCCUGGGGAGUUCUCUUUCUUCUUGACGGCCUAUACCUGAAAUCGGUUUGUCCGGAGCUAGGGUUCACGGCGGCAGAGCCUGCACUUUGCAGGGUCGGUGCGCCCCGACGAUCCUUGAAAAUCCGCGGGAAGGAAUAGUUUUCACGCCAGGUCGUACUCAUAACGCAGCAGGUCCAAGGUGAACAGCUCUAGUUGAUAGAACAAUGUAGAUAAGGGAAGUCGGCAAAUGGAUCGUAACUUCGGGAUAAGGAUUGGCUCUAAGGGUCGGGCUCGCUGGGCUUGGGGAAACCCGAGCAGGGGGGCACUAGCCGGGCAACCGGCCGGCGCCCGCACGGGUGGGGCGCCUUGCAGGCUUCGGCGUCCGGCGGGCGCUUAACGACCAACUUAGAAUGGUACGGACAAGGGGAAUCUGACUGUCUAAUUAAAACAUAGCAUUGCGAUGGCGAAAGUGGUGUUGACGCAAUGUGAUUUCUGCCCGUGCUCUGAAUGUCAAAUGAAGAAUUCAACAAGCGCGGGUAAACGGCGGGAGUAACUAUGAUCUCUUAAGGUAGCCAAAUGCUCGUCUAUUAGUGACGCGCAUGAAUGGAUUAACGAGAUUCCCUGUCCUAUCUACUAUCUAGCGAAACACAGCAAGGGAACGGGCUUGGCAGAAUAGCGGGGAAGAGAGACCUGUUGAGCUUGACUCUAGUUUGACAUUGUGAAAGACAUAUGGGGUGUAGAAUAGGUGGGAGCUUCGGCGCAGUGAAAUACACUACUUUAUCGUUUUUUUUUACUUAUUCAAUGAAGCGGAACUGGGCUUCACCGCCCAUCUUCUGGCGUUAAGGUCUUCGGGGCGAUCCGGGUUGAAGACAUUGUCAGGUGGGGAGUUUGGCUGGGGCGGCACAUCUGUUAACCACAACGAGGUGUCUAAGGGGGACUCAUGGAGAACAGAAAUCUCCAGUAGAACAAAGGGUAAAAGUCCUUGAUUUUGAUUUUCAGUGUGAAUACAACAUGAAAGUGUGGCUAUGAUCCUUUAGUCCUCGAAAUUUGAGGCUAGAGGUGCCAGAAAAGUUACCACAGGGAUAACUGGCUUGUGGCAGCCAGCGUUCAUAGCGACGUUGCUUUUUGAUCCUUCGAUGUGGCUCUUCCUAUCAUACGAAGCAGAAUUCGGUAAGCGUUGGAUUGUUCACCACUAAUAGGGAACGUGAGCUGGGUUUAGACGUCGUGAGACAGGUUAGUUUUACCUACUGAUGAGGUCGCGCAACGGUAAUUCAAUUUAGUAGAGAGGAACCGUUGAUUCAGAUAAUUGGUUUUUGCGGCUGUCUGACAGGCAGUGCGCGACGCUACAUCUGCGGAUAAUGGCUGAACGCUCUAAGUCAGAAUCCGUGCGGAACGCGGCGAUGUUGCCGCAGUCGUAGUUGG